rnacentral:lncRNA from 1 species
GAUAAAACUUGGUUCUAAUUAGACUAUGAGAUGUUAAGUAUGUAUAUUACAAUAGAGUAACUUCUAAAAGCACAAAGGAAUAAAAUGAAAAACUCAAUAGUUAAAUUAAAAUGAAAUACUAAAAAUAUUUACUUAAUCAAAAACAAAACAGGAUAAGGAAAAUAAAGGAAUGAAGAACAGGAGGAAUAAACAGAAAAGAAAUUACAAAAUAAAUCCAAAAACUAAAUGUGAAUCAUGUAAACAGGGAGCAUAUUUUUUUUUCUGUGAAGGGCCAGAUAGUAAAUGUUUCGAAUUUGUCAGUCUCUAUUACAACUGUACUCAACUCUGCCUUCGUGGCAGAAAAGCAGCCAUAGAAAAUACAUACACAAAUGAGCAUGUGACUAUGUUUUUGUUGUUGUUCUAAUAUGGUACUGGGGAUUGAACUCAGGAACUAAUGCAUACUAGACUGUGCUUUACCACAGAACUAUAACCCCAGCCCAAUGACCAUGUUUUAAUAAAACUUUAUUUACAAAACAGGCAACUGGUUAGAUUUUGCCCAUAGGUAAUUUGAUGACCUUGAUCUAAACAUAUUAAUUAAAAGCUAGAGAUUUUUUUAUUUUUAAAACCAGGAAGAUCGGGAACCAAGAACCAGGAAGGCUUAUUACCUUUUAUAAAACAUUUAGGCUCCCUAAUCUCAGGGAUCCUCUCCCAUGAUGCAGUACUAUUUGGUCCCCUUCACAUCAUCUUUUUGUAACAAGGUCUCCUUUAAAAUUGAAAGAUUUAAAAGAACCCUUACUCUUAAGUUGCUUUUUUCCUUCCCAGCUUCCUACAGGUAACCAUCUCAUGCUGAGAAGAGAAGCUGAAUGGAAACUGCACCCCCAUCCCAGAAGUCCUGGGAUCAAUGGAGCCUGCAAAACCAAAAUAGCAACGUGCCUCUCAGCUGGAAGUUCCCACAGCUUGACACGAUAUACAUACAUGUAUUUCUUGGCUCCCUGCUUUUGUUCUCUUCCUAUAUAUUCCUAAAGCUGAUAUUGGUUCAGGGAAAACAGAUAUUAAGACUGGCUAUCUUCUGAUUUGAGCCAAACUGCAAAUAAAUUCAUUUCUUGAUUCACCAUCUUUUCUUUCUCUCUUCAUUAAUUCAAUUAUUGAUGCAGCAGGUGAUUGAACCUAAUUUGUUAGGACCCCUAGAGUCAAGCCUUUGACCAGGGUCCUGGUAACACUUUGGGAAAUGGAGCUCAAGACAUUGGUGCAAAUGAUAAUACUAUUGUUAAAUAAAGUUGUGACUUGUUGUCCAGGGCUCUUCUAUUUUUUUGAUAGCACCUAUGAAACUGUGGCAGACUAGCUGGAUAACUUACAGGAGGAUGAACUCUUACAUCCUUCACCUUCAUGCAAAUGAUAAAAGGGUCACCAAGACAAGAGCCAUCCUAAAUCAGUAUGCACGGAAAACAGCAGAGC